rnacentral:misc_RNA from 1 species
CAACUCCUCGUGAGGAACUUGCUGCCCGACCCCAAGCUGUAGCUCACCUUCUCGCGCUCAGAUCCCUGGUGUGGAUCUCCUCGCCGGAAGCUCUUGGGCCGGCCAUGGGUGCCCAGCCGACCAACGCCGACUAGCACUCGCGUCGGUUCUCCAUGUUCUCGCCGGGGAGGCUCAGCCAUCGCGCCCUCAAGCUCGUCCUAGCCGGCGUCCUCCUCUACCAUGGAUCUCCCCUGCGUGCUGGACUUUCCUCCGCUCCUCCAUCCAUGGCGCUCGGCUGUUCCAAAUCCCUCCCCUAUUCGCUCAUAGAAGCCGCGCGCCACCUCUCUGCUCGGCCGCAUCUCCCUGUGCUCGAGCUCGUCGGCUUCUCCUCCACGCGCUCCAGCCCUUGCUCCUCGUUCCUCCCGGCUGCGCGCGUCAACUUCCUACGCGCUGAGCUCUCUUGCACGCCUCUACACUCGCCCAAGUCGCCACCGUUCUCCCUGCUCGCACGUGCAGCCGCGCCCCAGCUGCUCGCCGUCGCCUGUGCACUUUUUCUUCCGAACAGUAG